ensembl:snoRNA SNORD2 small nucleolar RNA SNORD2
GAGUGAAGUGAUGUUUAACCAUCUUUCGGGACUUACCAAAUCAUGGUGAUAAUUUUUUUUCUUGCUGAUCACUC